UGCUCCUAUGGCUCAGUUGGUAGAGCAACUGAUUCGUAAUCAGUAGGUCGCAGGUUCAAAUCCUGUUAGGAGCACCAA
rnacentral:tRNA from 1 species